CAGCAGCCGCGGGAAUACGAAGGGUGCAAGCGUUAAUCGGAAUUACUGGGCGUAAAGCGUGCGUAGGCGGUGAGUUAAGUCUGCUGUGAAAUCCCCGGGCUCAACCUGGGAAUGGCAGUGGAUACUGGCUCGCUAGAGUGUGUCAGAGGAUGGUGGAAUUCCCGGUGGAGCGGUGAAAUGCGUUGAGAUCGGAAAGAACGCCAACGGCGAAAGCACUCUGCUGGGCCGACACUGACACUGAGAGACGAAAGCUAGGGGAGCAAAUGGGAUUAGAUACCCAUGUAGUCCCUGUCUCUUAUAA
rnacentral:rRNA from 1 species